CUGGCUCAGGAUGAACGCUAGCGGCAGGCUUAACACAUGCAAGUCGAGGGGUAUAUUUCUUCGGAGAUAGAGACCGGCGCACGGGUGCGUAACGCGUAUGCAAUCUACCUUUUACAGAGGGAUAGCCCAGAGAAAUUUGGAUUAAUACCUCAUAGCAUUGCAGGAUGGCAUCAUUCAGCAAUUAAAGUCACAACGGUAAAAGAUGAGCAUGCGUCCCAUUAGCUAGUUGGUAAGGUAACGGCUUACCAAGGCUACGAUGGGUAGGGGUCCUGAGAGGGAGAUCCCCCACACUGGUACUGAGACACGGACCAGACUCCUACGGGAGGCAGCAGUGAGGAAUAUUGGACAAUGGGCGCAAGCCUGAUCCAGCCAUGCCGCGUGCAGGAUGACGGUCCUAUGGAUUGUAAACUGCUUUUAUACGAGAAGAAACACUACUUCGUGAAGUAGCUUGACGGUAUCGUAAGAAUAAGGAU
rnacentral:rRNA from 1 species